AAGUCGUAACAAGGUUUCCGUAGGUGAACCUGCGGAAGGAUCAUUAAUGAAAUUUCGUGAGGAGUGCUGUAGCUGGCCUUUCGGGGCAUGUGCACGCCUCUUCACAAAUCCACUCACACCUGUGCACUCUUGCGUGGGCUUUAGGUCUGGUAUUCAUAAACCUAGCCGGCCCACGUCCUUUCACACACUCUUGUAUGUCAUAUGAAUGUCUAGCGAUGUUAUAAACGCAUCUAAUACAA
rnacentral:misc_RNA from 1 species